UAAACCCCAAUCCUUCCUAGUUUCCGUCAGCACAAGCUCUACAGAUAUAACGUGGAGAAGUAUGAUGUUGAGAGUUUAACCUCCUUCAUUACUGGAUUCUAUAAGAACUAUCCAGCAACAUCCGUCCCACUUCCGAAAAGUCCGUUCGAUGACCUGGUUCAGCUCUGCGUAGAUUACAUCAAGGAAUACCCUGUCCUUGUGAGCCUUUGCGUGGCCAUCCCAAUCCUUCUCCUCAUUGCCUUCUUAUACCUGAUCAGAUCGGAUGAGGAAAAGUUAAGAAAAAAGAAGAAGAAGAAGAAGAACAAGGAUAAAUAGAGAAAACUUGGCUGUGAUAUUCUUAGUUCAAACUAGAUCAAACAUUCCAGGCCUAGGAUAAAUAAUAACUUGUACAACAUCUGUUAGAUUCACACAAGGAACAGUGUCCAGUGUCCACCGCCCAUAGCUUAGAUUCUCCCCACGGCCACCCCUCCUUCCCCUCCACAUAUGUCUUUACAGACAUUUUUUUAAUACGAUGGACUUGAAAAGUAUUUUGUUUUGUGGUUCCAUGGUAUAUGCCUCUAUGAGCAAUAACAUUGAACAUUUAUGUAAUUGAAAAUAAAAUGUCAGUUUUAUGUGAAAGGAUGUAGAUUACUGGUGUUAUGUCUCAGGGUUUUUUUGUAUUUUUUCAUACUCUUGUUACGCCUUUUGUUAAUAAAUAUGGAAUUGUUUUA